rnacentral:rRNA from 1 species
AACGAACGCUGGCGGCAUGCCUAACACAUGCAAGUCGAACGAGACCUUCGGGUCUAGUGGCGCACGGGUGCGUAACGCGUGGGAACCUGCCCUUAGGUUCGGAAUAACUCCCCGAAAGGGGUGCUAAUACCGGAUAAUGUCUUCGGACCAAAGAUUUAUCGCCUUUGGAUGGGCCCGCGUUGGAUUAGCUAGUUGGUAGGGUAAAAGCCUACCCAGGCGACGAUCCAUAGCUGGUCUGAGAGGAUGAUCAGCCACACUGGGACUGAGACACGGCCCAGACUCCUACGGGAGGCAGCAGUGGGGAAUAUUGGAAAGUGGGCGAAAGCCUGAUCCAGCAAUGCCGCGUGAGUGAUGAAGGCCUUAGGGUUGUAAAGCUCCUUUACCCGGGAUGAUAAUGACAGUACCGGGAGAAUAAGCUCCGGCUAACUCCGUG